CCCCGUUAUUCAUCAGUGGAAAUAGCCAGUGUUUAAAAAGAAGUAUGCAGCAAAUUAUUCAUCAUUGUACAACAUGAAUACCACACGCCAAAACAACUUACACUGCUUGACUUAGUAAAAAAGGACUGAAUGUUUUUUUGUGAAAAGAUAGCGCUGAAUUCUUGUUGAAUCUGUUAGCACAGUCAACCGCACAACAGCUUUUUCCCAUUUUAGAUACGUUUUUUCUGUGUUUUUGCGGAAUUCACGCUUUUUGCCACUCAGUGGGCGUGACCGCAGUGAGUCACAGCUACUGUGAUGUCACAUGCAUACCCUCUAUAACUGAAAAAAAGAGUCUAGUUUUCUAGCAAAAAUGAGAGGAAAAAAAGGUAUGUAUUCUGAUUGGCUAAUCCUGUUUGUCUUCACAGUAGCUAAUAGCCAAUCAAAUAUCCAUCCAUCCAUCCAUCCAUCCAUCCAUUUUCUGUACAGCUUAUUCUUACUGGGUCUCGGGGAACCUGGAGCCUAUCGCAAGGGGCAUGGGGCACAAGGUGAAGGGAAAUCCUGUACGGGGUGCCAAUCCAUCACGGGGCACACUCACACACAUACACACACUACGGACACUUUGGACAUGCCAAUCAGUCUACAAUGCAUGUCUUUGGACUGGAGGAGGAAACCCCCAAAGCACAGGGAGAACAUGCAAACUCCACACACAGGGCCACGGUGAGAAUCAACACCCCAACCCUGGAGGUGUGAAGCAAAUGCGCUAACCAAAAAAAAAAAAAAAGGGGGGGGGGGGGGAUUUAUUCGGCGUUUUGGGAAGGUUAAAUAGAGUAAUGGUAACUUAUUGAACAUCAUUUCAGCGCAAUUACUGUGCAAAACAUUUACGUGACAUUGCAUAACAUGUUUGCGCAUUAAUUUUGCUGUUUAUAAUAGGUGUAUGUCAACCAUCCAUUCCGACGUUCUUUUACAAUUAUUACUUGUCACGCUGUACGACAAGAUCCCACUAAGAAUUCUUUCAUAGACUGUGCAAUAACAUGUUCUUCAUGUUAGAUUAAAUGAUGAUGAUAGCUACUAUUCUCUGCCAUACUGGGUUUGCAGCAACGCAACACAGGUUGUCCUUUAUGAUGUGGAAUUGUGCCUGUGACAGCAAAGUCACAGUGUAAAGCCGGUGCAAAAUCCUGUAAAUUCAGGGGGGAUGUUUGUAUCCUACUACAUCUCCUGAGUUGUGUGAAAUGGCUAAAAGAACAAAAAUGACGAGUAUCGUUCUUUCUAGACCGAAUGGACAGACGAAUCUGCAUAUUUGGAAGUUGCAUUUAUGGUAAGUAGUGUUCAAUUUACUCUUACUUGGGUACUGCAUCUUGUAUUGAUUUACCAUUUGAUGAAAUGAUCAUAACUGGUUAAAUGAUGUUCAAGUGCCACCUACAGGCCUAUUAGGUGAAGUGCAGGCUGUUAGGUCAAGAACUCUCAAACUGCCUGUAUUACAUUACCACUUUUUUAUUUUAUUUUUAUAAUUAUGCAAUAAUAGUAAAGAUAAUAACUAUAAUAAUAAGAAGACAUAUAUAAAAACAUAAACUUUUAUCUGGCUCUUUAAAGAAAAAAAUCAUAACUUUUUUUUUUUUUUUUUUGGCUUUAUGGC
ensembl:lncRNA